GGGUUGUGAGGUUAAGCGACUAAGCGUACACGGUGGAUGCCCUGGCAGUCAGAGGCGAUGAAGGGCGUGCUAAUCUGCGAUAAGCGCCGGUAAGGUGAUAUGAACCGUUAUAACCGGCGAUACCCGAAUGGGGAAACCCAGUGUGACUCGUCACACUAUCAUUAACUGAAUCCAUAGGUUAAUGAGGCGAACCGGGGGAACUGAAACAUCUAAGUACCCCGAGGAAAAGAAAUCAACCGAGAUUCCCCCAGUAGCGGCGAGCGAACGGGGAGGAGCCCAGAGCCUGAAUCAGCAUGUGUGUUAGUGGAAGCGUCUGGAAAGGCGCGCGAUACAGGGUGACAGCCCCGUACACAAAAGCGCAUGUGCUGUGAGCUCGAUGAGUAGGGCGAGACACGUGGUAUCCUGUCUGAAUAUGGGGGGACCAUCCUCCAAGGCUAAAUACUCCUGACUGACCGAUAGUGAACCAGUACCGUGAGGGAAAGGCGAAAAGAACCCCGGCGAGGGGAGUGAAAAAGAACCUGAAACCGUGUACGUACAAGCAGUGGGAGCCCCACCACCAAAGCAUUCUCUGGUGUUGAAGGCCCUGCAAAGCAGCAUCGCGGUGGCGGAGCGUCGUUUGCGACGCCCAACACACAAAACAAGCGGUGAAUGCUUUG
rnacentral:rRNA from 1 species